rnacentral:rRNA from 1 species
AGUGAACGCUGGCGGUAGGCCUAACACAUGCAAGUCGAACGGCAGCACAGUAAGAGCUUGCUCUUACGGGUGGCGAGUGGCGGACGGGUGAGGAAUACAUCGGAAUCUACUUUUUCGUGGGGGAUAACGUAGGGAAACUUACGCUAAUACCGCAUACGACCUACGGGUGAAAGCAGGGGAUCUUCGGACCUUGCGCGAUUGAAUGAGCCGAUGUCGGAUUAGCUAGUUGGCGGGGUAAAGGCCCACCAAGGCAACGAUCCGUAGCUGGUCUGAGAGGGUGGUCGGCCACACUGGAACUGAGACACGGUCCAGACUCCUACGGGAGGCAGCAGUGGGGAAUAUUGGACAAUGGGCGCAAGCCUGAUCCAGCCAUACCGCGUGGGUGAAGAAGGCCUUCGGGUUGUAAAGCCCUUUUGUUGGGAAAGAAAAGCAGUAGGUUAAUACCCCGCUGUUCUGACGGUACCCAAAGAAUAAGCACCGGCUAACUUCGUG